ACGGGGGGGGCAAGCGUUGUUCGGAAUUACUGGGCGUAAAGGGCCAGUAGGCGGCCAACUAAGUCGGAUGUGAAAUCCCCAGGCUCAACUUGGGAACUGCAUCCGAUACUGGAUGGCUUGAAUUCGGGAGAGGGAUGCAGAAUUCCAGGUGUAGCGGUGAAAUGCGUAGAUAUCUGGAGGAAUACCGGUGGCGAAGGCGGCAUCCUGGACCGACAUUGACGCUGAACGGCGAAAGCUAGGGGAGCAAACGGGA
rnacentral:rRNA from 1 species